rnacentral:rRNA from 1 species
CGGACGGGUGAGUAAUGCCUAGGAAUCUGCCUGGUAGUGGGGGACAACGUUUCGAAAGGAACGCUAAUACCGCAUACGUCCUACGGGAGAAAGCAGGGGACCUUCGGGCCUUGCGCUAUCAGAUGAGCCUAGGUCGGAUUAGCUAGUUGGUGAGGUAAUGGCUCACCAAGGCGACGAUCCGUAACUGGUCUGAGAGGAUGAUCAGUCACACUGGAACUGAGACACGGUCCAGACUCCUACGGGAGCAGCAGCU